UACAGAGGGGGUAAGCGUUGUUCGGAAUUCCUGGGCGUAAAGGGCGCGUAGGUGGCCUUCUAAGUUGAACGUGAAAUCCCUGGGCUCAACCCAGGAACUGCGUCCAAGACUGGGAGGCUUGAAUCCGGGAGAGGGAUGCGGAAUUCCAGGUGUAGCGGUGAAAUGCGUAGAUAUCUGGAGGAACACCGGUGGCGAAGGCGGCAUCCUGGACCGGCAUUGACGCUGAGGCGCGAAAGCCAGGGGAGCAAACGGG
rnacentral:rRNA from 1 species